GUUUUGUCCACAACUCAAAUAUAUUCAGUUUACUGUCACAGAGGAGAGAAGAAACUAGAAAACAUUCACAUUUAUGAAGCUAGAAUAGGGGACUUUUGAAUUUCUUUCUUGAAAAUGACUCAAACCAGAUUAAUAGUUAAAAAAAGGUAUUUGGCAAUUCAUUUAAUAGCUGACCACUAAUCGAUUCAUCUUUGCAGCUCUAUUAUUGCAUAUUUUGAAACCUAAAUACUGUUAUGGUACCGACCAAAAUGGGUCAAGCACCAUGUUUUUGAAGGCUGUAAAAUAGCAAGAGUUGGCAUUGAAUGACUCGCCAGAUUCAUAAUGUCGUUUAUUUUAGUUUUAUUUACUGAUUUCUCAUUUUUAUAUUUCUCAAUGUAAGGCAUCGACACGGGUAUCAACAUAAAAAACACAACUAUUGUAUUAAAACAAUAUAUUUCAAAUAAUACAGCCCCACGAAAAGGUUUGGGAUUAGCCAUGUAGCUGUGAUGGUUAGGGGUUAAACAUUCUGUGAAUUAGGGUCCUCACAAGUAUAGAAGUACAGCGUUGUGUGUGUGUGUGUGUUUGUCACUGUAAGACGUUGUCCCUGAUAAUUAGCUUCAUUAUGCGACAAUGCUGUGUUUGCUCGGAUUAAACGCUUCCUUUCCGAUUUGUCAGAAGAGCCAGUGAACGCAUCGUAGAAAUGCCACACAGAGAAUGAAGCUUUUAUAUAUGAUGACAUGUUAUUUAUAUGUGAAACUAAAAUAAAUGUGCGUUAUAUUACGUUUUAACAUGUUUUUAUUUGUUCUUUUUUAGCCUUUGAGUUAAAAUGUUCCAUAAAAAGACGUUGAGUUGUGGCAUAAAUCAGAUUCAAACUAAUGUAGCUUUUAUUAAUAUUAAUAUUAUUAUUAUUAUAACUGCAAUACAUCUACACAGUAACAGCCUAACAGAUUGUAAUAUAUAUUAUAAGCUUAUAAUGCAUUUGAUUUUGUCAUAGUAUUUUUAUAUGUUGAAGAGGAUGUCGUCACUGUAUCAUCUGUAGACUGUAGAGAAAUCUUUGUUUUCAGUUGCCAAAAAAAAUGUUUCCAGACCAACCUUUUACAAAAAAAAAAGAAGAAAAAAAAUCAGAUAGUGUUUCGGUUCAUGUUGUCUCACCUGAAAGCGGACAACGAUUAGUGCUUCUUCUUUUCUCCUAUUUAUUUAAAUAAAGAGCUGUUCCUCCUCCA